GAUGAACGCUGGCGGCGUGCCUAACACAUGCAAGUCGAGCGAACAGACGCUGAGCUUGUUCCUUUGUCGUUAGCGGCGGACGGGUGAGUAACACGUGUAUCACCUACUUAUAUUUCUGGGAUAACUUCGGGAAACCGGAUCUAAUACCAUAUAAUAUAUUGAACCGCAUUGUUCAAUAGUGAAUGUCGGCUUUGCUGUCUCUAAUAGAUGGUUCCGGGCGGCAUUAGCGGGUUGGUAAGGUAACGGCUUACCAAGGCUACGAUGCGUAGCCGAACUGAGAGGGUGAUAGGCCGCACUGGAGCUGAGACGCGGUCCAGGCUCCUACGGGAGGCAGCAGUAGGGAAUCGGACGCAAAGGGCGGAAGCCUGACGGAGUGGGGCGGCGUGAGUGAUGAAGGUCUUCGGAUCGUAAAAAUCUGUUAUGAGGGAAGAACAAAUGUGUAAGUAACUAUGCACGUCUUGACGGUAACUAAUCAGAAAGCAACGGCUAACUACGUG
rnacentral:rRNA from 1 species